rnacentral:rRNA from 1 species
CCUACGGGUGGCAGCAGUGAGGAAUAUUGGUCAAUGGACGAAAGUCUGAACCAGCCAAGUAGCGUGAAGGAUGACUGCCCUAUGGGUUGUAAACUUCUUUUAUAAAGGAAUAAAACGAGGCACGUGUGCCUUUUUGCAUGUACUUUAUGAAUAAGGAUCGGCUAACUCCGUGCCAGCAGCCGCGGUAAUACGGAGGAUACGAGCGUUAUCCGGAUUUAUUGGGUUUGAAGGGAGCGUAGAUGGGUUGUUAAGUCAGUUGUGAAAGUUUGCGGCUCAACCGUAAAAUUGCAAUUGAUACUGGCAGUCUUGAGUGCAGUUGAGGAAAGCGGAAUUCGAGGUGUAGCGGUGAAAUGCUUAGAUAUCACGAAGAACACCGAUUGCGAAGGCAGCUUACUAAACUGUGACUGACGUUGAGGCUCGAAAGUGUGGGUAGCAAACAGGAUUAGAUACCCGUGUAGUC